rnacentral:misc_RNA from 1 species
AACGCACAUUGCGCCCCUUGGUAUUCCAUGGGGCAUGCCUGUUCGAGCGUCAUUUGUACCUUCAAGCUUUGCUUGGUGUUGGGUGUUUGUCCCAAGGGACUCGCCUUAAAACAAUUGGCAGCCAGUGUUUGGUCUUGAAGCGCAGCACAAGUCGCGAUUCAAGGCCACACGCCAGCUUCCACAAGCCUUUUUUCACUUUUGACCUCGGAUCAGGUAGGGAUACCCGCUGAACUUAA